CUUGCUCUUUCCGGAAUUGAGUAGCAAACGGGUGAGUAACACGUAAACAACCUGCCUUCAGGAUGGGGACAACAGACGGAAACGACUGCUAAUACCGCAUAAUGUAUUCGGAAGGCAUCUUCUGAAUACCAAAGGAGAAAUCCGCUGAGGGAUGGGCUCACGUCUGAUUAGUUAGUUGGUGAGGUAACGGCUCACCAAGACUGCGAUCAGUAGCCGGUCUGAGAGGAUGAACGGCCACACUGGAACUGAGACACGGUCCAGACUCC
rnacentral:rRNA from 1 species